AGCUCCAAUAGCGUAUACUAAAGUUGUUGCAGUUAAAAAGCUCGUAGUUGGAUUUCUGGAGUACAAAGUUUUUUGCGUUCGCCUCGCGAGAGGUUGCAACGCAGCUUGUCUCCUUUCUUGGGAUUUCAGUGCGGAGGUGGCCUUCACUGGUCGUCUCCGUGUCUGCCCAUCAUUUACUGUGAGCAAAAUAGGGUGUUCAAAGCAGGCUUAGGCCGUUGAAUACAUUAGCAUGGAAUAAUAAGAUAAGACCUUGGUCUAAUUUUGUUGGUUUGCAGUCCGAGGUAAUGAUUAAUAGGGACAGUUGGGGGUAUUCGUAUUCAAGUGUCAGAGGUGAAAUUCUUGGAUUUCUGGAAGACGAACUACUGCGAAAGCAUUUACCAAGGAUGUUUUCA
rnacentral:rRNA from 1 species